UAGGGAAUCUUCGGCAAUGGGGGGAACCCUGACCGAGCAACGCCGCGUGAGUGAAGAAGGUUUUCGUAUCGUAAAGCUCUGUUGUUAAGGAAGAACGAGUGUGAGAAUGGAAAGUUCAUACUGUGACGGUACUUAACCAGAAAGGGACGGCUAACUACGUGCCAGCAGCCGCGGUAAUACGUAGGUCCCGAGCGUUGUCCGGAUUUAUUGGGCGUAAAGCGAGCGCAGGCGGUUAGAUAAGUCUGAAGUUAAAGGCAGUGGCUCAACCAUUGUAGGCUUUGGAAACUGUUUAACUUGAGUGCAGAAGGGGAGAGUGGAAUUCCAUGUGUAGCGGUGAAAUGCGUGGAUAUAUGGAGGAACACCGGUGGCGAAAGCGGCUCUCUGGUCUGUAACUGACGCUGAGGCUCGAAAGCGUGGGGAGCGAACAGG
rnacentral:rRNA from 1 species